rnacentral:rRNA from 1 species
ACUAGUAUGAAUGAAUAAACGCAAGAACCCCUGUCUCUUUUUUACCAAUAAAAAUUUACCUCUAGGUGAAGAGGCCUAGAUUUUAUAAAAAGACAAGAAGACCCUAUCAAGUUUUAUUUCUCCUUUAACCUUUAUAAUAAGAGAAAUUUUAUUGGGGCGAUAAAAAAUAAUAAUAAUCAUUUUUAACUUCAAGGAAAUUAUCCUAUUUCUUUAACUUAUAAAUAAAAAUAAGAAAACUACUGUAGGGAUAACAGGCUAAUAAUUCCCAAGAGUCCUUAUCAACGGAAUUGCUUGGCACC